rnacentral:misc_RNA from 1 species
AACGCACCUUGCGCCCCUUGGCAUUCCGAGGGGCACGCCUGUUCGAGUGUCGUGAACUCCUCCACUCCUUACCUUUUUCGAAGGGUACCGAGCUGGGAUUUGAGAGUUGCGGGUCCCUGGCCGAUCCGCUCUCUUUGAAUGCAUUAGCGAAGCCCUCGCGGCCUUGGUGUGAUAGUAAUCUACGCCUCGGUUCCGUGCUUAGUGUGGCUACGCUUCCAACCGUCUUGCAAGGGACAACGACUACAAACUUGACCUCGAAUCAGGCGGGACUACCCGCUGAACUUAA